AUGAAUGCCAGAUGCCUCUAGUGAGCCACCUUGAAUCACUAUUCUGAAUACAUCUUGAGUAAAAAGAGAAAAUUGCUCAUGUUUCCAUGUCUAUCUGAAUCAUGUUAUUGGACCAUGAGAGCAAGCAGCUGGAUCUCAUUCUGUCCAGGACUCCUGGAAACAGCAGCUCUAACAAAAUUGUCUUCAAUAAAUAAGUUUUUUUGCAUCACAUUUGUGUAUGUCCUGAAUGUUCUGAGCCCUUCAGAUUUGACUCAUAUUCAUGCUAAAAGAAAAAAUGCAAAUGAAAAUUGUAUAGCUAAUUAUGAGAAAAAUAAAGCAUCAUAAGAAAACCAGUAAACUAUAUUUUUAACAAACGAAAAUGUAGAACAUACUUACCUAUACUUUUAGUUUAAGGGGAAUAUUCUUUCAUUAUAUAGGUUUAUGAAAUACAAUAUUAAGAAUGGUAAAGAUUAUUAUUUUACUGACUUUAACUACAAAAAUGCCUUUGAGAAAAUGUUUUCUUCCCUGGAUCUUGACCUAAUUGGAUAAUUUUAUGUGAGCUAAUAUUUCCGGUCUGAUAAGACUUUCAAGGGAGCCAAUUAUGUGCUUUUAUCCCAUCAAUAUUGCAGUAUUACAGGUUUUUCUGUGGCCUUUUGUACCAUUUUUUUGUUGCUGUUGUAAAUAUUAAGUUUUGCUCUUUGGGAGAAAACAUUUCUUCCUUGACUGUUAUUGCUGCUGAUAGCUAGAAAGGAUUACCAGUAGAACCCCUGCUUUAAAGAAAAAGAAAAAGAUUGGGCUAUAAAUGAUUGUUUUUUAUUUCAAAAUCCAUCAAACUGAGUUUAACUAACACUAGAGCAUUGCAGAUAGCUUACUACAGAAAUAGUUUUUUUUAAUUUCUUAU
rnacentral:lncRNA from 10 species